AUGACCACGAUGAUCGCAGCUAGCUCCAUAGUGAAAGCCAACCUUCCUUGCUCGUCAAGGAUAUCCUCCUGCUCAGACUUCUCAUCUGGUCAUUUGUGGCGCCCAUUAGAAGCUGCAAAACAUUACCGAGCGCAUGGUGUGCGCUCGCUGCGGGUAACAUGUGCUGCCACUAAGACUGCGAAAUCUCCAGCUGAAGAGGAAUGGAAGAUCAAACGGCAAUUCCUAUUAGAGAAGCGGGUACGUAGUGUUGAUGUGAAGGAAGCACUGCGCCUUCAAAACGAAAACAACUUUGUAAUUCUCGAUGUCAGACCAGAAGCAGAGUUCAAACAGGCUCACCCACCUGGUGCUGUUAAUGUACAAAUAUACAGAUUAAUAAAGGAGUGGACAGCAUGGGAUAUUGCAAGGAGGGCAGCAUUUGCUUUCUUUGGCAUAUUUGCAGGAACAGAAGAGAAUCCUGAGUUUAUAAAAAGCGUUGAAGAAAAACUUAAUAAAGAUUCAAAGAUAAUUGUAGCAUGUUCAGCAGGAGGAACAAUGAAGCCAACACAGAAUCUACCUGAUGGGAAGCAAUCUAGGUCUCUGAUAGCGGCGUAUCUGCUGGUCCUAAACGGCUACAAGAACGUGUUCCAUCUGGACGGAGGGCUCUACACAUGGUUCAAGGAAGAUCUACCUUCUGAAGGAGAAGAAGAUUGA
rnacentral:rRNA from 1 species